UACGUAGGGUGCAAGCGUUGUCCGGAAUUAUUGGGCGUAAAGAGCUCGUAGGCGGUCUGUCGCGUCGAAUGUGAAAAUCCGGGGCUCAACCCCGGACCUGCAUUCGAUACGGGCAGACUAGAGUUCGGUAGGGGAGUCUGGAAUUCCUGGUGUAGCGGUGAAAUGCGCAGAUAUCAGGAGGAACACCGGUGGCGAAGGCGGGUCUCUGGGCAAGUGAACUGACGCUGAGGAGCGAAAGCGUGGGGAGCGAACAGG
rnacentral:rRNA from 1 species